rnacentral:rRNA from 1 species
CAAGGCUUGACAUGAACCGGAAAGACCUGGAAACAGGUGCCCCGCUUGCGGUCGGUUUACAGGUGGUGCAUGGUUGUCGUCAGCUCGUGUCGUGAGAUGUUGGGUUAAGUCCCGCAACGAGCGCAACCCUUGUCCGCUGUUGCCAUCAGGUUAAGCUGGGCACUCUGCGGAGACUGCCGGUGAUAAACCGGAGGAAGGUGGGGAUGACGUCAAGUCAGCAUGGCCUUUAUGUCUGGGGCUACACACGUGCUACAAUGGCAGAUACAAACCGUCGCGAUGCCGCAAGGUGGAGCUAAUCGGAGAAAGUCUGUCUCAGUUCGGAUUGCAGGCUGCAACUCGCCUGCAUGAAGUUGGAAUCGCUAGUAAUCGCGGAUCAGCAUGCCGCGGUGAAUA